GAGGGGAGGAACCCACACCAUUCCAGUCUCAGCUGGUGACUAGCCAGCAUUGAUUCGACACACGAAGAAGAUAUUUAAACAACAUUGCCGCUAAUAGCGAAACAUCAAACUAGUAUUUUACAAUUCGAGCUACACUGAGGCGGAAGGCAGCGUGCACCCCGGACAAGUCGCCACCUCAUCACGGUGAAAGCAAAACAGGAUCCUUCCGUGGUUCAUGGACGACCAGAGCAGUCAGGGUGACAAUCAGGAUACUGGGUGUCACGCCCCAAGUCCGACCCAUUCGCAUCAUGGUUCCCUCCAUGAUAUACCUUGUAUUAGUCAGCCCGGAGGAAAUCGGGAUUCAUACUAUGAGUAUGAGGACAGCCGGAUCAAGUCUGCGAAUCCACAGAACACGACCCCUGGGAGCAACGACAGUAUAUUUUGCUGCUGGAGGUCUACCCCCAAGUCCAGUGCGUAGUGCAAAUCAGCGGUGAAAACUGUGAUUAGCAAAGCAUGCUUUUUUUACAAAGUUGCUACCUUCCCACCACCACGGACAUCUUUAUCGGCAGAUGCAGUAAGACGUCUCUCUGCAUUGCGGAAGGAUUCUAGACCGAGGAACAUAUUUUCCCAAGAUUGUCUUUGUUGAUACUAUGAUAAUAAAGAGAUUUUGAAUCCAU